AUUCAUUCAAUUAUUUGCUACUUGUUAACACAAAUGAAGUUUUCUGUUAGAGAAGGAAAUAUUGUAAGGGAAACAGAAAUUCAACUUGAACAAGCACACAAAAAAACUCAUUUUUUAUCUUGGAAACCCCUAAUAUGGAGGAAAAUCAACUUCUAUGGUAGUGACAAUGGCCUUGCUACCUUCUUUAUUGUAUAGAGAAUAUAAUUAUAGCAAGUAGGAGUUUUUCUUUUUGCCCUCCAAAUUCCAGAAACAUAUGCUUUAAACUCAAAUUAUAAUUCCCUUUUAUAGAUUUUUGUGAACAUCAGGUUUCUUCUGAGCCCUAGAGGAAUUCCCGCACAAACUAGAAGUUAAUAUGGCGACUGUUCAGUUCAGAUUCUAGAUUUGAAGUGCUCAAUGUUGGUGGACAUGGUUGUGGUGCUGACCAAGUGGCUACUGCAAUUGUGGUCUUGUCUGCAUGUGUUUUCCAAUCAGUUUCUAUUUAUGAACCUAUCUUGGUACCUGGAUUCACUUUGUUAUUCAAGUUUCUGCUUCUCAUGAAUUUUCCAGAUUCAGUAUGGGUCAACUGUGAAACACUUUAGCUUUCGUCAUCUCAAGUGACAAAUAAAAAUGCAAUUAGAUCUGUCAUUGGGGUUAGAGACUCUUAUAAAGUAUUGCUACUGUUGAUAAUUAUAUUCUUCUCUAUGUUAUGGUGGAGUACAUGAAGUCAACUAUGAGCUUCCUAUGGGAAAUAAUGACCAUAAACGGCAUCAAUCAACAAAUAAAGGCAAUUGAAGGUUUGGACUCACUAUAUUUCAUUCAGUAAAAAUGUAUGUUGAUCUGAAGGAAAUGUGGAGAUGAACCAUCAGUCUCUCCCAGUUGAACAGGUCACUGCCUUCAAGCUUGCAUUCUCAUCUGCAGGCCGGGGACCGUCUUCAGAAUCUGAUGAUUUUAAGUCCUUAUGAAAUCAAGCAUUUGCAACGCCAGAGAAACUAGCAGAGUUAGUGGAAAAGGUUGACAGAGCAAUUGCAGAGGAUUUACCAGGGGCAGUUUCAAAAAUGAAACUUGCAAAUCCUUCUACUCUCUCUAUUUUGUUCAAGCCAAUCAAAAGAUAUUGUUAAGACUGGCAUGCGAUCAAUAUCAGAUAUACAGGCUUACCUUGAUACGCUUGUGUAGCACACAUUUGAAUAAUGCCCUUGAAGAUUCUUAAAUUCGAUUGAGCUCAAUCUUGGAAUGAACUGAUACAGAAUUUAGUCAAGCAAGUAGUAUCUUGGGAUGGACUAUUUAAGAGGGCUCCUAAAUCAUAAAUUGAAAGACAUUAUCCAUGUUGUGGAACUCAAUGAGAUAAAUAGCUGUUUAAUCAAAUGAUAUUGCAUUGCU